GAGCCCCGCCCCACCUGCUGGGGACAGGGGCGUUUGCGGCUUCUGGGGAUCGGGGUCGGUUCAGAGCCGGGGUCCCGCGGUCCCCAAAGUCCGCUUAUCCCCCCCCACCUCCCGGGGGACACAGUCGCCCUGGUGAACGCUGAGGGUCCUUUGGGGAAGGCGGGGAGAAGGGGACCAGCAGGGCCCCCAGGCCCUCCCUCCAAGCAAGAGGUCUGGGUCCGCGAACUGGCUCGAGCCUCAGAGUUGACUGGAGUGGGGGCCGUGUGUCUCUGCUGUCGGGGUUCAGGGGGGAUGUUUGCUCGCUCUACCCAGGACGUGUCUGCUCCUACAGACGGAGUACAGAUCCGGGGGCGCCCCAUCGACUUCCCUCUAGGAAUGCCGUGAUCCAGCAGCCGUCCCCGCGGGGGUCUGCGAGCCAGACUGGGCUGCCUGCUGCCUGGACUCUGCCAUCCAUCCCGGGGACCACGUCCGGCUUGUGUUUGGUGGCCACGGGCCGCACCCCCGGGACCCAAUCGCUCUCACAGACUUUAGGCUCCCAGGUCAGAGGCUGCAGUUCCCCCGCGAGGUGCGCCUGCAGAGAAGAGCCUGCCCCGGGCCCCUCUCCGUCGUGGUGACACGCGCAUGUCGGGACCCCUCGGGGCGGGCAGCGGCUUCCCGAGAGACCCACGCUGGCAUCCAUCUCCUUAACCCUCCGGUUGCCCCUUCACGGAAGCCAAGGCGGCUCUGGCUCUCCCGCCUCCCUGGCCAGUGUUUCAGCCAACCCGCCACCGCCACCCUGCGUGCGAGAAAUGCAGAGUGUCUGCUCAGUGGGAGUGAAUUCACGCCCGCAAAUCUGGCCUGACCCCCUUGACGCUCCCUCCUCCGCCGUCCACAGCCCGAGCCCCGGAGUCCGCGGGGAAUCAGCCGAGGGGCUUCUCUCAGCGACAACCCUCAGGUCCCCCUUCAGGGCGGCUUCCCUCACUCUCCCGCUCAGAGAAGAGCUCGCUCCUAAAGACGAAGAGAAGUGCGUGGAAGCAGGGCUCCCGGCCUGUGGUCUCGCCUCCCUGCCCACUGCCCAGAGCUACUCGGGUCCCCCGCUGGCCACACCAGAGGGCCACGGACCCCGGAGCUGAGGACAACAGAGAGUGACUCUCACAGUUCUGGGGCUCGGGGAGAACCCGUCCUGCCUCCCCAGCAUCUGCUGGCCCUGGGCUUGUGGCCACAGCACCCCAGCCUCUGCUGCCGUGGUCACGUGGCCUUCUUCCCUGUGUCUCUUCCUGUCUCUUUAAGGACACCGUCCUUUGAUUUAGGCCCGCCCUAAACUCUGGACGGUCUCGUCUCAUGGUCCUUCAGAACCUUGUUCCAAGUAAGGUCACACUCGAGGUUUCGGGUGGACACGUCUUUUGGGGGCAUCACGAACCACUGCCGGGCGAUAGGACACGUGUGAGUGUCCUGCCGGAAGGAACAUGCUAGAAGGUGACAAUCCUCACGCUGGCUGAGAGCCACGGGGGCAGGGAGGGGACACUGCCUGUCCCCUGCUGGCCCGGCUGCUGCGGGCUGGCUGUGACUGGCGGUUGGUGCCGCCCGGGGGGAUGCAGAG
ensembl:lncRNA